UACGAAGGGGGCUAGCGUUGUUCGGAAUUACUGGGCGUAAAGCGUGCGCAGGCGGCUCAUCAAGUCAGAGGUGAAAGCCCAGGGCUCAACCCUGGAACUGCCUUUAAUACUGGCAAUCUCGAGUCCGGAAGAGGUAAGUGGAACUCCUAGUGUAGAGGUGGAAUUCGUAGAUAUUAGGAAGAACACCAGUGGCGAAGGCGGCUUACUGGUCCGGUACUGACGCUGAGGUGCGAAAGCGUGGGGAGCAAACAGG
rnacentral:rRNA from 1 species